rnacentral:ncRNA from 1 species
UGGGCUGGCUGAAAAGCCCUGGUCCACCGAAUGGCGGGGAUUUCCCCG